GUGCUUAACACAUGCAAGUCGAGUGCGCGCCUGUAGCAAUACAGGUGGCGCACGGCGCACGGGUGCGUAACACGUGGGCAAUCUGCCCUCUGAUGGGGAAUAACCCGCCGAAAGGCGGGCUAAUACCGCAUAACAUUCCUUGGACUCAUGUUCGAGGACUGAAAGGCGUAAGUCGUCGGAGGAGGAGCCCGCGCCCGAUUAGCUAGUUGGUAGGGUAACGGCCUACCAAGGCUUUGAUCGGUAGCUGGUCUGAGAGGAUGGCCAGCCACACUGGAACUGAGACACGGUCCAG
rnacentral:rRNA from 1 species